GACACAGACUUCCCCAUGAUCAACUUCUGCACAGUCUGGACAGCUUUCUGGCAGCAGUAGAGGUUGGCCCUGCAGCUUUGGGCAAGGCCCAUGGACAGAGAGAUCGCACCUGAUGGGAACAAUCUUAAAAGCCAUCUGAUUCUGAAUUACAGGGCAGGCUGGAUGAAGACUCUCAGCUGACAAUGUGGACAUCUCAAGACAGGCACUGGACAAUGGCUGACAGACUUAUAUGAAGACUGGAAAUGUUUUGCUAUCUCAGAGGAAAAGAAGGCCCCUCCGACUACACUGUACUCUAAGGACAGUUUAUUCAGAGGCCUGCAGACAGACGUCAUCCCCUGAAAAUGUCCUAAACAAGGUGCAGGCCAACGAGGAAGAGGAGAGGCUGAAUAGAGAACUGGAGCUAACUACCAAGGAGAGAAAUGAGCUGACAGAUCGCCUCCUUUAUGUGACAGGUGGAUCCAUGAGCAAGAG
ensembl:lncRNA